GAUCCUGGCUCGGGAUGAACGCUAGCUACAGGCUUAACACAUGCAAGUCGAGGGGCAGCAUGGUCUUAGCUUGCUAAGGCCGAUGGCGACCGGCGCACGGGUGAGUAACGCGUGGAUAAUCUACCCUUAAGAUGGGGAUAACGGCUGGAAACGGUCGCCAAUACCGAAUACGCUCCCGAUUUUAUCAUUGGGGGGAAAGAUGGCCUCUGCUUGCAAGCUAUCGCUUAAGGAUGAGUCCGCGU
rnacentral:rRNA from 1 species